UCCAGACUCCUACGGGAGGCAGCAGUGGGGGAUAUUGCACAAUGGGGGGAACCCUGAUGCAGCGACGCCGCGUGGGUGAAGGAGCGUUUCGGCGCGUAAAGCCCUAUCGGCAGGGAAGAAGGAGGACGGUACCUGACUAAGAAGCCCCGGCUAACUACGUGCCAGCAGCCGCGGUAAUACGUAGGGGGCAAGCGUUAUCCGGAUUUACUGGGUGUAAAGGGGGCGCAGACGGCAGCGCAAGCCAGGAGUGAAAGCCCGGGGCCCAACCCCGGGACUGCUCUUGGAACUGCGCGGCUGGAGUGCAGGAGGGGCAGGCGGAAUGCCUGGUGUAGCGGUGAAAUGCGUAGAUAUCAGGAGGAACACCGGUGGCGAAGGCGGCCUGCUGGACUGCGACUGACGUGGAGGCCCGAAAGCGUGGGGAGCAAACAGGAUUAGAUACCCCGGUAA
rnacentral:rRNA from 1 species